GGAGGGUGCUAGCGUUGUUCGGAAUUAUUGGGCGUAAAGAGCGUGUAGGGCGGGUUGGGAUAAGUCAGAUGUGAAAGCCCUCGGCUUAACCGAGGAAUUGCAUUUGAAACUAUUCAACUUGAGUACGGGAGGGGAAAAUGGAAUUCCCGGUGUAGGGGUGAAAUCCGUAGAUAUCGGGAGGAAUACCCGUGGCGAAGGCGGUUUUCUGGACCGAUACUGACGCUGAGACGCGAAAGCGUGGGGAGCAAACAGGAUUAGAUACCCUGGUAGUCCACGCCGUAAACGAUGGGCACUAGGUGUUGGGAGUGCUAAAAUUCCCAGUGCCGUAGCUAACGCAUUAAGUGCCCCGCCUGGGGAGUACGGCCGCAAGGCUA
rnacentral:rRNA from 1 species